UUCCAUUGUAAAUUUAAUUAGUUUGAUUCUGACUAGAAAUUUCUAUUGUAUUGAUUUCAUAUAUAGGUUUUAUUAGAAAUUUAGUUAAGUAGUGUUGAAUAUUGAGAUAUUAAAGUAAUUUAUAAUUAGUUUAAUACAAUAAGUUUGACUAAAGACGUGCCAGCAGUCGCGGUUAGACGAUGAAGCUAAAUGAAAUUUUUUAAUAUUGUAAUUAAUUGUGUUAUUAUUUAUUUUAUAGUAAGAUUAAAAUAAGGUGGAAUUUUUUUAAUUUAUUUGUGUAUAAAUUUUAAUUGAGUUGAAGUUAUGAUUAUACUAUUUAAACCAGGAUUAGAUACCCUGUUAUUUGUAUAGUAAAGUAUGUAUUUGAGUAGUAGUAGAGUUCUUGAAACUUAAAGAAUUUGGCGGUAUAUUAAUCUAUUUAGAGGAACCUGUCCUGUAAUCGAUAACCCCCGUAAAUUUAACCUAGGUUUAAAUAUUAGCUUGUAUAUCGCUGUCGUAAGAUUAUUUUAUGAGAAAUUUUUCUAUAAUAAGGUUUUAUUUAUGUCAAGUCAAGGUGCAGUAUAUGUCUAGGGUUGAGAUGGGUUACAAUAUUUGGUAAAUAUACGGAAAUAAAAAUGUAAUUUUUAUUGAAGGUGGAUUUAAUUGUAAUAUGAGAUUAAUUAUCUUGUUUGGAAUAGUACUAAUAUAUGCACACAUCGCCCGUCACUCUCAUUAUAGUUGAGAAAAGUCGUAACAAAGUAGGCGUAUUGGAAAAUGUGCCUGG
rnacentral:ncRNA from 1 species